UGGACUGGACGCUUAGAAUAGUUUUACAGAUUUGAGACUGUGAGAGAGUUGGCUAUUGACAAAAACAAUCCCAAAGUCCGAUCAGUCGAUGUCGUCUUUUCGUUUGGAGAUGGGAGUUUUACCAGGUGACAGUUGAAAUUGUAGGCAGUUGAUUUGAGACCAGAGUCAAGAAGGAACGUUCAAUCGUUAUUUUUAAGGCAACAAGGAUCAGAAUUCCUUAAAGUGCUCAAAAGAAACGAAGACGUGAAUAUGUGAAACUACAAGAACAAAGUCUGAUCUACAUCUGCUGAGUGAGAUCCUGUGACGAUUGAAAGCUGUAGAACUGCGACUCAAAACAACUCGUGCAACACAUUGUCAGACACCCCCUAACCCUGUUUCUCCUCCGGACCGGAGCGAGCUUCUCCGAGUGUUUCCGAACCCGCAGAGCUCGGCAGCACUGCGGCUGCGUCACAGCGUCGCCGAACAGCUCAGGUUAACGACAAUAACGACGAAAAACUACCGUAGCCUGCACGCGCUACCGGGCACCGGGAGGAGAAGAUGAACCGGGGACACUGACCGGGGAAGCUCCGGUGUUUACUCUGCGGCUCCCACGGCACAGUCCGGUUAGCUUAGCGGGCUAACGCCGAGAACUCGUAGAUUAGUGCCGCUGCUUCAGAAGCUGCUCUGCGGGGUUCUGGUGCGUGACAGCGGUGCGGGGCCGCCACGAGCGGACUGCUAUGAGCGGGACGCGGCUCGGACUCACCGGUGUCAGCGGCUCUCGGGUCAACGUGUCCGGGCUUUCUGUCCUGUUUCUCCUCGGUGGAUUUCAGAGCUGAGCCACAUCACCAAACGCAUCCCGGAAGCAGAGCUGCCUCUGCGCUGAUUGGACGGCGCUGUCAACUGACAUCGAAGAAGGAAACAUGGUGAAGACAGGACCCGACCUGAGAGUGAAGCUGAUCGUCAACCAUGUCCGCCAGCUGGGCAGGAGCCUGAUGCUGCUCGCCCACUACACCACGGUGUUUGUGGCCUUCAUGGGCCGCAGCGUGCAGUGGAUGGUGGAGGCGGUGAGGUGGACCAGCCUGUUUGCACGAUACACCGUGUCCGCGUUCGAUUCCAUCUACAGACUUGUGCACCGGGGCAAGAGGAGCAGCGUGGCAGCGGGGACCAGAGAGAUCUGCCCGAGCGCCGACACGCAGCCACAGUGUGCAUCAUAACUUCAUAUCUGCAAACCGACAACCUCCAGCGGAGACUGGGUCCACGUUUGGAAAUCAAUGGGGGAAAAAACGCACGAUGAAAAAGAAAAAUGAGGCCUUACUGAAGUGUGAAACUUUUUACUUUUUUUAAGCGCUUAUAACAUAACUAUUUGUAACAGUCUUACUAGUCUUAUACAUUUUUAUAUUUGUGUUAUCGUCAGCUAAAGCUCUUUCAAAUGUUGGAAAACAUUUCAAGCUCUUUGUUAAAUGAAGUCAUUCAUCCCUCGUACCCGUUGACAUGACAGGGUAACCCGAACCAGAUUAAGUAAAACACUACGGAAGCAUAAUUUAUACCAUUUCACAUUUAUCACACUAGAUUCAACACUACAUGAACUCAGUAAAGUACAAACCACUAUCGAGUGGCGACACUCCUCAUGAAACCACAUUCAAAGCCACUAAAUCCAGUUUGUUUAUUUGUACAGCCCUAAAGAUGUCUGAUAUUUUCAACCAGAUCCAUAAAUUAUUCUCUGAGAAAUCAAAGAAAAUUCAAAAACCCAGUAUCUCUAAAUGUUAGAGAAUGUGAGAAAAUAUAUCAUUCCUGGAUUUGCCCCCUUAACCAGAUUGAGACCAGAAUGUAUCAGGUUCUUCCCUGACCCAUAUCACAUCUUUCCUCAAAGUUUUGUGGAAAUCUGUCCAAUACUUUUUGUGCCAUCUUGUUCACAAACAAUCAGACAGGGGUGAAAACAGCCAAAUGUAUUUUUCAACCUGUGCCUGUGAUAUUCAUACAUGAUUUAAUAUGAAUAUGUUGAUUUUUGGGCAUUCUUUUAUUCUGACAUGACUGAAGAGACGCAUGCUGCUUUAUCUGUGAUUGACAUUAAUUCAAAUGUUUUCCGACAUCAGUGUGAGAAAAGGCAUGUUGCUUUAAAGUGACCUGCAGCUGCAUUUACUAAUGUAAAGUUUUUCAUUUUUACUUUUGUAUUGAUCAUAGUAUUUUAAAUGUAAGAGCAUUCAGAAUGCAACGUAAGCACUGACAUGAAUAUUCUGGUAUUACUUCACUAUUUCAGAUGCUGAAAUCAACAAACACAAAUUCAAGCAUAUGUCAAGAUUGUUAUACCAAAGGAAUCCUGUGCAAGAAGUGAGACUUAAGGGAAUUCUGCAUUGUUCUGUAUAUGUUUAAAAAAUGCAAGCUUUACUGUUUGUUCAGUUAUUGUACUAAUCAGCCAUAACUGGUUUCAUACUCUAAUAUCAGAAUAAAUUUCUCUACCAAA